AUGCUGGAGGUAUCAGAAGUGCGAAUGCUGACAUAAGUAACGAUAAAGCGGGUGAAAAGCCCGCUCGCCGGAAGACCAAGGGUUCCUGUCCAACGUUAAUCGGGGCAGGGUGAGUCGACCCCUAAGGCGAGGCCGAAAGGCGUAGUCGAUGGGAAACAGGUUAAUAUUCCUGUACUUGGUGUUACUGCGAAGGGGGGACGGAGAAGGCUAUGUUGGCCGGGCGACGGUUGUCCCGGUUUAAGCGUGUAGGCUGGUUUUCCAGGCAAAUCCGGAAAAUCAAGGCUGAGGCGUGAUGACGAGGCACUACGGUGCUGAAGCAACAAAUGCCCUGCUUCCAGGAAAAGCCUCUAAGCAUCAGGUAACAUCAAAUCGUACCCCAAACCGACACAGGUGGUCAGGUAGAGAAUACCAAGGCGCUUGAGAGAACUCGGGUGAAGGAACUAGGCAAAAUGGUGCCGUAACUUCGGGAGAAGGCACGCUGAUAUGUAGGUGAAGUCCCUCGCGGAUGGAGCUGAAAUCAGUCGAAGAUACCAGCUGGCUGCAACUGUUUAUUAAAAACACAGCACUGUGCAAACACGAAAGUGGACGUAUACGGUGUGACGCCUGCCCGGUGCCGGAAGGUUAAUUGAUGGGGUCAGCGCAAGCGAAGCUCUUGAUCGAAGCCCCGGUAAACGGCGGCCGUAACUAUAACGGUCCUAAGGUAGCGAAAUUCCUUGUCGGGUAAGUUCCGACCUGCACGAAUGGCGUAAUGAUGGCCAGGCUGUCUCCACCCGAGACUCAGUGAAAUUGAACUCGCUGUGAAGAUGCAGUGUACCCGCGGCAAGACGGAAAGACCCCGUGAACCUUUACUAUAGCUUGACACUGAACAUUGAGCCUUGAUGUGUAGGAUAGGUGGGAGGCUUUGAAGUGUGGACGCCAGUCUGCAUGGAGCCGACCUUGAAAUACCACCCUUUAAUGUUUGAUGUUCUAACGUUGACCCGUGAUCCGGGUUGCGGACAGUGUCUGGUGGGUAGUUUGACUGGGGCGGUCUCCUCCUAAAGAGUAACGGAGGAGCACGAAGGUUGGCUAAUCCUGGUCGGACAUCAGGAGGUUAGUGCAAUGGCAUAAGCCAGCUUGACUGCGAGCGUGACGGCGCGAGCAGGUGCGAAAGCAGGUCAUAGUGAUCCGGUGGUUCUGAAUGGAAGGGCCAUCGCUCAACGGAUAAAAGGUACUCCGGGGAUAACAGGCUGAUACCGCCCAAGAGUUCAUAUCGACGGCGGUGUUUGGCACCUCGAUGUCGGCUCAUCACAUCCUGGGGCUGAAGUAGGUCCCAAGGGUAUGGCUGUUCGCCAUUUAAAGUGGUACGCGAGCUGGGUUUAGAACGUCGUGAGACAGUUCGGUCCCUAUCUGCCGUGGGCGCUGGAGAAUUGAGGGGGGCUGCUCCUAGUACGAGAGGACCGGAGUGGACGCAUCACUGGUGUUCGGGUUGUCAUGCCAAUGGCACUGCCCGGUAGCUAAAUGCGGAAGAGAUAAGUGCUGAAAGCAUCUAAGCACGAAACUUGCCCCGAGAUGAGUUCUCCCUGACUCCUUGAGAGUCCUGAAGGAACGUUGAAGACGACGACGUUGAUAGGCCGGGUGUGUAAGCGCAGCGAUGCGUUGAGCUAACCGGUACUAAUGAACCGUGAGGCUUAACCUU
rnacentral:rRNA from 1 species